UAGAUACCCUGGUAGUCCACGCUGUAAACGAUGAUAACUAACCGCCGGCGAUAUAGUGUCGGUGGCCAAGCGAAAGCGAUAAGUUAUCCACCUGGGGAGUACGACCGCAAGGUUGAAACUCAAAGGAAUUGACGGGGGCCCGCACAAGCGGAGGAACAUGUGGUUUAAUUCGAUGAUACGCGAGGAACCUUACCCGGGCUCGAACGGCAGAGGAAGAGACUCAGAGAUGAAGACGUCCCUUCGGGGACCU
rnacentral:rRNA from 1 species